rnacentral:rRNA from 1 species
GACGAACGCUGGCGGCGUGCUUAACACAUGCAAGUCGAGCGGUAGCGCGGGGGCAACCCUGGCGGCGAGCGGCGAACGGGUGAGUAAUGCAUCGGAACGUGUCCUUUUGUGGGGGAUAACCAGUCGAAAGACUGGCUAAUACCGCAUGAGCUCGAGAGAGGAAAGCAGGGGACCGCAAGGCCUUGCGCGAGAGGAGCGGCCGGUGCCCGAUUAGCUAGUUGGUGAGGUAANAGCUCACCAAGGCGACGAUCGGUAGCUGGUUUGAGAGAACGACCAGCCACACUGGGACUGAGACACGGCCCAGACUCCUACGGGAGGCAGCAGUGGGGAAUUUUGGACAAUGGGGGCAACCCUGAUCCAGCCAUGCCGCGUGUGUGAAGAAGGCCU